CCUCGUUCCAAGUUGCCAGCGGGUUAUACCGGGGACUCAUGGGAGACUGCCGGGGUCAACUCGGAGGAAGGUGGGGAUGACGUCAAUUCAUCAUGCCCCUUAUGUCCAGGGCUUCACACAUGCUACAAUGGCCGGUACAAAGGGCUGCGAUCCCGUGAGGGGGAGCGAAUCCCAAAAAGCCGGUCUCAGUUCGGAUUGGGGUCUGCAACUCUACCCCAUGAAGUCUGAGUCGCUAGUAAUCGCAGAUCAGCCACGCUGCGGUGAAUACGUUCCCGGGCCUUGUAAAAACCGCCCGUUAAGUCACGNAAAUCGGCAACACCCGAAGCCGGUGGCCUUACCCACGUGGAAGGAGCCGUCGAAGGUGGGGCUGGCGAUUGGGACGAAGUCGUAACAAGGUGAGCCGU
rnacentral:rRNA from 1 species